CCUACGGGGGGCUGCAGUGGGGAAUAUUGGACAAUGGGGGCAACCCUGAUCCAGCCAUGCCGCGUGUGUGAAGAAGGCCCUCGGGUUGUAAAGCACUUUCAGUGAGGAAGAACGCCUGGUGGUUAAUACCCAUCAGGAAAGACAUCACUCACAGAAGAAGCACCGGCUAACUCCGUGCCAGCAGCCGCGGUAAUACGGAGGGUGCGAGCGUUAAUCGGAAUUACUGGGCGUAAAGCGCGCGUAGGUGGCUUGAUAAGCCGGUUGUGAAAGCCCCGGGCUCAACCUGGGAACGGCAUCCGGAACUGUCAAGCUAGAGUGCAGGAGAGGAAGGUAGAAUUCCCGGUGUAGCGGUGAAAUGCGUAGAGAUCGGGAGGAAUACCAGUGGCGAAGGCGGCCUUCUGGACUGACACUGACACUGAGGUGCGAAAGCGUGGGUAGCAAACAGGAUUAGAACCCCAGUAGUC
rnacentral:rRNA from 1 species